rnacentral:tRNA from 1 species
GGAGGCGUGGUGCAGCGGCCUAGCAUACCUGCCUGUCAAGCAGGAGAUCGCGGGUUCGAAUCCCGUCGCUUCCGCCU